UGUCUUGUAGUAUAACCAUUACUAAUACUGUAAAUUGCAACUUUACCAAAACUUAUUAGUCAAGACAU
rnacentral:tRNA from 1 species